rnacentral:rRNA from 1 species
GUGGGGAAUAUUGGACAAUGGGCGCAAGCCUGAUCCAGCCAUGCCGCGUGCAGGAAGACGCAUCUAUGGUGUGUAAACUGCUUUUGUACGGGAAGAAACACUCCCUCGUGAGGGAGCUUGACGGUACCGUAAGAAUAAGGAUCGGCUAACUCCGUGCCAGCAGCCGCGGUAAUACGGAGGAUCCAAGCGUUAUCCGGAAUCAUUGGGUUUAAAGGGUCCGUAGGCGGUUUAAUAAGUCAGUGGUGAAAGCCCAUCGCUCAACGAUGGAACGGCCAUUGAUACUGUUAGACUUGAAUUACAAGGAAGUAACUAGAAUAUGUAGUGUAGCGGUGAAAUGCUUAGAUAUUACAUGGAAUACCAAUUGCGAAGGCAGGUUACUACUUGUGGAUUGACGCUGAUGGACGAAAGCGUGGGGAGCGAACAGGAUUAGAAACCCCUGUAGUCC